CCCUACGGGGCGCAGCAGGCGCGAAAACUUUACAAUGCGGGAAACCGUGAUAAGGGAACUCCGAGUGCCCGUAAAAUCGGGCUGUCCAUCGGUUUAAAUAACCGGUGAAGAAAGGGCCGGGCAAGACCGGUGCCAGCCGCCGCGGUAAUACCGGCGGCUCGAGUGGUGGCCACUAUUACUGGGCUUAAAGCGUUCGUAGCUGGUCUGUUAAGUCUNUGGGGAAAUCUACUGGCUUAACCAAUAGGCGUCUCAGGGAUACUGGCAGACUAGGGACCGGGAGAGGUGAGAGGUACUCCAGGGGUAGGAGUGAAAUCCUGUAAUCC
rnacentral:rRNA from 1 species